CUGCCUUUUGAGCGCUUUCCCCCACACCUGGUUCCUAAUGCCAAUCAAGACGUUUUUCGGUUGUGUGGUUGCUAUCUGGGUUGUUGGUACUUUGUUGAAUGAAUCUUCUACUUGGAUGAACAUAGCAAGCGCAAAAAUAGCUUUCAAGGAUGUGGCCAUCUCGAUUUCCGACAUCGUAACUGGACGUCAUUCCUGGCUCCGACUUCCAAUCUUCCGAGCCAGCUUCUUUUGCAUCUGAGGACCCCGCCCGAAGAAGAUGUAGUUGACAAAGGCGUACUCCAGGAGGGCGAGGAAGACCAUGACAAAGCAGCCCAUCAAGUACAUGUCGAUGGCCUUCACGUACGGGAUCUUGGGCAGCGUCUC